rnacentral:rRNA from 3 species
UACGUAGGUGGCAAGCGUUGUCCGGAUUUAUUGGGUUUAAAGGGUGCGUAGGCGGCCUUGUAAGUCAGUGGUGAAAUACUCUAGCUUAACUAGAGGGGUGCCAAUGAUACUGCAGGGCUUGAGUACAGAUGAGGUAGGCGGAAUUGACGGUGUAGCGGUGAAAUGCAUAGAUAUCGUCAAGAACACCUAUAGCGAAGGCAGCUUACUGGGCUGUAACUGACGCUGAGGCACGAAAGUGUGGGGAUCAAACAGG